rnacentral:rRNA from 1 species
UGUGUUGUUGGGUAGGGGAGCGUUCUGUAAGCCUGUGAAGGUGUGUCGUGAGGCAUGCUGGAGGUAUCAGAAGUGCGAAUGCUGACAUAAGUAACGAUAAAGCGGGUGAAAAGCCCGCUCGCCGGAAGACCAAGGGUUCCUGUCCAACGUUAAUCGGGGCAGGGUGAGUCGACCCCUAAGGCGAGGCCGAAAGGCGUAGUCGAUGGGAAACAGGUUAAUAUUCCUGUACUUGGUGUUACUGCGAAGGGGGGACGGAGAAGGCUAUGUUGGCCGGGCGACGGUUGUCCCGGUUUAAGCGUGUAGGCUGGUUUUCCAGGCAAAUCCGGAAAAUCAAGGCUGAGGCGUGAUGACGAGGCACUACGGUGCUGAAGCAACAAAUGCCCUGCUUCCAGGAAAAGCCUCUAAGCAUCAGGUAACAUCAAAUCGUACCCCAAACCGACACAGGUGGUCAGGUAGAGAAUACCAAGGCGCUUGAGAGAACUCGGGUGAAGGAACUAGGCAAAAUGGUGCCGUAACUUCGGGAGAAGGCACGCUGACACGUAGGUGAAGUGAUUUACUCACGGAGCUGAAGUCAGUCGAAGAUACCAGCUGGCUGCAACUGUUUAUUAAAAACACAGCACUGUGCAAACACGAAAGUGGACGUAUACGGUGUGACGCCUGCCCGGUGCCGGAAGGUUAAUUGAUGGGGUCAGCGCAAGCGAAGCUCCUGAUCGAAGCCCCGGUAAACGGCGGCCGUAACUAUAACGGUCCUAAGGUAGCGAAAUUCCUUGUCGGGUAAGUUCCGACCUGCACGAAUGGCGUAAUGAUGGCCAGGCUGUCUCCACCCGAGACUCAGUGAAAUUGAACUCGCUGUGAAGAUGCAGUGUACCCGCGGCAAGACGGAAAGACCCCGUGAACCUUUACUAUAGCUUGACACUGAACAUUGAGCCUUGAUGUGUAGGAUAGGUGGGAGGCUUUGAAGUGUGGACGCCAGUCUGCAUGGAGCCGACCUUGAAAUACCACCCUUUAAUGUUUGAUGUUCUAACGUGGACCCGUAAUCCGGGUUGCGGACAGUGUCUGGUGGGUAGUUUGACUGGGGCGGUCUCCUCCUAAAGAGUAACGGAGGAGCACGAAGGUUGGCUAAUCCUGGUCGGACAUCAGGAGGUUAGUGCAAUGGCAUAAGCCAGCUUGACUGCGAGCGUGACGGCGCGAGCAGGUGCGAAAGCAGGUCAUAGUGAUCCGGUGGUUCUGAAUGGAAGGGCCAUCGCUCAACGGAUAAAAGGUACUCCGGGGAUAACAGGCUGAUACCGCCCAAGAGUUCAUAUCGACGGCGGUGUUUGGCACCUCGAUGUCGGCUCAUCACAUCCUGGGGCUGAAGUAGGUCCCAAGGGUAUGGCUGUUCGCCAUUUAAAGUGGUACGCGAGCUGGGUUUAGAACGUCGUGAGACAGUUCGGUCCCUAUCUGCCGUGGGCGCUGGAGAACUGAGGGGGGCUGCUCCUAGUACGAGAGGACCGGAGUGGACGCAUCACUGGUGUUCGGGUUGUCAUGCCAAUGGCACUGCCCGGUAGCUAAAUGCGGAAGAGAUAAGUGCUGAAAGCAUCUAAGCACGAAACUUGCCCCGAGAUGAGUUCUCCCUGAGACUUAGAGUCUCCUGAAGGAACGUUGAAGACGACGACGUUGAUAGGCCGGGUGUGUAAGCGCAGCGAUGCGUUGAGCUAACCGGUACUAAUGAACCGUGAGGCUUAACCUUACAACGCCGAAG